CGGGUGUAGCACAACGGCUAGUGCACCAGCCUUCCAAGCUGGGGACGUGGGUUCGAUUCCCAUCACCC
rnacentral:tRNA from 1 species